GCUUACCAAUGUUACGAUGGCCAGAAACAAAACAAGCGAGGUACAAAUAUGACGUUCAACUAGAUCAUUUCAAAAGAUUCGAUUUCGGCGUCGUGUGAAGAUUUUCGAAGGUCGAAUAAACAGAGAAAUGAGCUAGUUCCGCUAAAAGAAACAGAGCUGAACUACUGGCUUGAAAUAAUUCUUCACACGGUUGGGUUGCAGGAACAAUAAACUUUGAACCAGACGUCGGCCACAGAAGGAUAAAGUAGGUUACAUUCAUUCAAUGGUAGCCUAAGCGUGCCUACUUGUACACUAGAGGUUAUGGGUUCGACGUUGAUACCAUUCUAUGACCAAGAUACGAAAUCCCCUACCUGCUACUGCCAGUAAUCAGAAGACUUAUUUUUUGACGGAUGUUCUCUUUAUUUUGUAUCCUCUAGGCUUGUGGCAGGCAGCCUCCCCGCCAAACAUGUUUGUAGUUGUGAAUAAAUAUUAAACACCAAA